GCAGGUUUUUCUCUACUCAGAAGUUGGUGGAAGUUUUGCGCGAAUAUUAUAGUUGAAGACUUCAAGCAAAGAAGGAAAUAUAGAGUUCUCAGCUUCUCACCAAAAUGAAGAGAAAGAAGGACAUCUUGUCGUUCUUCCAAAGAAAAGAUAAGGUAGACAGUGAGACAGAGCCAAAUGGUUCAGGUGUGGAGAGAGCAAGAGAGAGCAGAGAGCCUGUAGAGAGAGAGCAGGAAGAGUUGUCCAUUGGAGAGACGGAGAGUGAAGGAAUAUUAGAGGAGGAAAGUGAGACAGAUGGAGAGACUGAGGCUGAGAGUGAUACACCUACAGAGGAGCCAUGUGUGUCCACUAGCAGUGGACCAUCAGAUAUCAGCAAAUCCCGGGAAGAACCACCGGUGCAGCCAAUGAUGAAUAUAUACCCAAGGACUCUGAUGGGGGACCGGAGGAGGAGCUUCAAGGCAGCCUGGUACCAUAUCCACCCCUGGCUUGAAUAUUCCAAACAAUCAGACUCUGUGUUUUGUUAUGCCUGCAGGCAUUUUAGCCUUCCCAAAGUCUCAGAGUCUGCAGAGUCAGAUAAUAAAGGGAACUUCAUGGCAAUUUAGAAACAAUAGCUAAGCAUGAUAAAACUGUGCAAAAAAGGUUGACUUCCAUUCAUAAUGCAAAAUAUACCAGCAAAGGGAUUCAGAAUGAGGUUCUGAGUUGUUUGGCAGACAUGGUUCGAACUAAAAUUAUAGAAGAAGUGAAAGACAGUGAGGUCUAUAGCAUAAUGGCAGAUGAAACAAAAGAUGUAAAAAAGAAGGAGCAGAUAUCUCUAGUACUCAGGUACUAUUUCAGUGGAGCUGUCCAUGAGAGCUUUCUCCACUUUGAAUCGCCUGAUCGACUAGAUGCAGCAGGGCUUACUGACAAAAUCAUACACAUAUUAGUAAGUCAUGGUCUUGAAUACAAAAACAACCUAGUAGGCCAAGCUUAUGACGGUGCUUCAGUUAUGAGCGGGACGCAUUCAGGUGUCCAGGCACGCAUUAAAGAACAAGCAAAGCAUGCUUUUUACAUCCACUGCAAUGCACACUGUCUGAAUUUAGUUUUAGUGGAUACAGUCAAAGCUAUCCCUGAGGUAAUAUAAUUAAAAUGCAAUUACAGUUACUGUGACAUACAGAAUAUGUAAUGCAAAAUAUAAAAAUGAUUAAAAUGCAAAUAGUUACUGUGACUGAUACUGAAUAUGUAAUGCAAAUGGAAAAAUAAAAUGGAAAUGCAAUUACAGUUACUGUGACUAAUACUGAAUAUGUA
ensembl:lncRNA